GGGUGACCAGGGAGGAGAGGAUCUCCAUCAAACUCUCACUGGGACAUCAAGUUCAGCAAGAAGAGAUUGGUGUGGAAUUCCUCUUGAAUUUCAGUGAAGUUCAACAAAGAUUAAGAUGAGGUACAGCCCAAGGGCCUGCUGUGGACCAGGAGGUGGGACAUGAAUACUGAAUACAGCCGAGGAUGAAAAAGGACUGCAGAGCACAAAGGGUAGUCGCGGUCUGUGAACGUGUCCUCCCGCUGGAGUGAGAUUCUGCUGCAUCCAUAGAUGGUGAGGGUGUUUCCCCUGCCUCCAGCCCAGUGCAUGCUGGGAGAGCUUCCAGCAUCCAUGUGACCUUGAAAAGCAAAAAUGGAGGGAUGAUUCAGAAUAUUCUUCAAACCCUAUUUAUAAAUUUGAUCUUAACCAGACUGAAAUUAAAAAUGUAAAGACAUCCUUUAUAAUUCAAAGUUGUGGUUUGAGCAAUUUAAAUAAAAUGUACUUGCUUGA